UCCUACGGGAGGCAGCAGUAGGGAAUCUUCCGCAAUGGACGAAAGUCUGACGGAGCAACGCCGCGUGAGUGAUGAAGGCUUUCGGGUCGUAAAACUCUGUUGUUAGGGAAGAACAAGUGCUAGUUGAAUAAGCUGGCACCUUGACGGUACCUAACCAGAAAGCCACGGCUAACUACGUGCCAGCAGCCGCGGUAAUACGUAGGUGGCAAGCGUUAUCCGGAAUUAUUGGGCGUAAAGCGCGCGCAGGUGGUUUCUUAAGUCUGAUGUGAAAGCCCACGGCUCAACCGUGGAGGGUCAUUGGAAACUGGGAGACUUGAGUGCAGAAGAGGAAAGUCGAAUUCCAUGUGUAGCGGUGAAAUGCGUAGAGAUAUGGAGGAACACCAGUGGCGAAGGCGACUUUCUGGUCUGUAACUGACACUGAGGCGCGAAAGCGUGGGGAGCAAACAGGAUUAGAUACCCUGGUAGUCCACGCCGUAAACGAUGAGUGCUAAGUGUUAGAGGGUUUCCGCCCUUUAGUGCUGAAGUUAACGCAUUAAGCACUCCGCCUG
rnacentral:rRNA from 1 species